ensembl:snoRNA SNORA70 Small nucleolar RNA SNORA70
UUGCAGCCAAUUCAGCAGACCAUCCUCCUCCUUGUGGGGGCCAAAGUGCAAUAGCUGCAAACAGCAAGGUUCCUUGGUAGUGUAUGCAGCAUGUUGCUAUGUAUGGGCUGCCCUAAGGGACCUUGGAGACUACC